GGUCUGUUGGUGAAGCGGUUAACACACAUGGUUUUCAUCCAUGCACGCACGGGUUCGAUUCCCGUACAGACUGCCA
rnacentral:tRNA from 1 species